rnacentral:piRNA from 1 species
UGUGCAGGACCUCCUGGUCUACCAGUGC